UAGAUUGAGAAAGCUUCUAGCUGCAUCGAAUGAUUCACUUUGGAGAACAGGAUUGAUAUAUACAAGAGUACAUAACUCUGUAGCUAUUCUGUAUAAUGCUCAGGUGGUCUUGGAUGUGCCAUUGCGUCUUGGAAGCCCAGAUAAUUGUCAGAUUUUGUGCGUUAAGCCCCUUGCUGUUUCUGCGAAUGCAGAUGUAAAAUUUUCUGUGAAAGGGUUAAACCUUUAGUGCCAUUGCGUCUUGGAAGCCCAGAUAAUUGUCAGAUUUUGUGCGUUAAGCCCCUUGCUGUUUCUGCGAAUGCAGAUGUAAAAUUUUCUGUGAAAGGGUUAAACCUUUUCCUGUCUAGUGCAAGGUUGCUCUGCG
rnacentral:lncRNA from 1 species